rnacentral:lncRNA from 1 species
UUUACCUACAGCGAGAAAGUCACCCAGUGGUCGUCUGCAGCAUCUGCCAACGGAAGCAUUAGCCUUGGCUCACAUGGCUCAGACCUCCCGUGGGCUUCUGUCAUUGCAGGAUGACCACCCGGAGCAUAUGUACUGAGCUACAGCGUGUGUCACACAUGUGGCCUCGUCCUCAUCAAUCGUUCCCCAUAUAGGGGCCACCGUCACUGUCCUAUUUUAUGCUCCAUCCAGAGGCUCAGAAGAGGCGAGUGGCUACCCCAAGGUCACAUAGCUGAUCAGUUGUGCUACUGGGAUCCCAAGUCAGGUUGUCUUGAGUCCAGAACCCACCCCUCCCUGCCUCUCCAAGGCCAGGCCCCCAUGACUCCUGCUG